rnacentral:misc_RNA from 1 species
GAUGAAGAACGUAGCAAAAUGCGAUAAGUAAUGUGAAUUGCAGAAUUCAGUGAAUCAUCGAAUCUUUGAACGCACAUUGCGCACGCUGGUAUUCCGGCGGGCAUGCCUGUUCGAGCGUCAUUUCAACCCUCAAGCCCCCGGGUUUGGUGUUGGGGAUCGGCUCUGCCCUUCUGGGCGGUGCCGCCCCCGAAAUACAUUGGCGGUCUCGCUGCAGCCUCCAUUGCGUAGUAGCUAACACCUCGCAACUGGAACGCGGCGCGGCCAUGCCGUAAAACCCCAACUUCUGAAUGUUGACCUCGGAUCAGGUAGGAAUACCCGCUGAACUUAAGCAUAUCAAUAAGCGGAGGA